rnacentral:snoRNA from 1 species
CCUCUCACCGACGACGACAUGGUGUCCUACAUCCUUGCGAGACUCAACUACGACUGCAUGUCCUUUGUCUCCACGAUUUGUGCCCGAACUCAGCAAAUCAAGGUGAGCGAGCUUUACUCGCAGCUGAUCAGCUUUGAAA